UUGGCUUGCUGUCCGCAGUGGAGGAGCUAGAGGAAGCAGCUUCAACUCGAGCUUAAAUAUGCUUAGAAACUAAAUCUGGUAGCAAGAUGCAUAAAUUAUGACGGUGUUGUUGGGGAGGUAGAGGGAUGCCAAAACAGCUGAUGGUAAUUGAAAGAUUAGGAACUUCAUAAGGCAUUUUUCAGCGAGGAAAUUGUAUAAUUGGCAUGGUUUCUGUAGCAAGUAAUAUUGUCCAUUGUUUUGCAACUAUCCGGAGAGAGAUCUUGUGUCUUCCCACAAUAAAACCUUGCGUCAUAUGUAGCAGGUGGAAUCUUCAUCAAGCUGUCUUGAAGCUUUGAAAACUGACAAAUAAGUGAAAAGAUCUGUUUCAAGAUAUCUCCCACCUCCACACUGCAUACGUCACGUCUGGGUCCAAUUAUAAUCACAUGAUCUUUCUUCGUUAACUUGAGUCUCACACCUGCUGUAAAAACAAUGCCAGCUACCAGGAGAGAGAUCGGGUCUUAUCCCACACUAGAAUAUGACACUGACUGCAGCUCCCUCUCAAGAGUCAUGAGAAGAAUUCAACCACCUACAACCAUCACUUUUGGGUCAAGCCACAACCUAAUAAUCUCUAUGUCACAAUUAUGCUUUGGUUAAUGUUAUGGUUUCAUUCAAACUUGUUUGCUCAUCUUAUCCAUUUGUUCCCAUUCGUCACUAUAGUUACAAUGGUUGUUCAGGUCACAUUUUAUUGAUAGCAAAACUGGAAAGGUGACUCUGGGGAGUGGAGGGAGCAGGAAUUUAAGGAUUGAGUUACAGAAAGAAAUGCUAGCUUUGUGCAACCAUUGAGUGCUCCAUGAAGUUUGAUUUCUUAUAAAUCAAUUCCAAUUUAAAAAAAAAAUGAUAAUAAUAAUAAUUUCAUUCUGGUCUGAUAACCUUCUGUACUGGUAGAAAAUAAACUGUUAACACAUUCAUGUC